ACGGGAGGCAGCAGUGGGGAAUAUUGCACAAUGGGGGAAACCCUGAUGCAGCGACGCCGCGUGAAGGAUGAAGUAUUUCGGUAUGUAAACUUCUAUCAGCAGGGAAGAUAAUGACGGUACCUGACUAAGAAGCCCCGGCUAACUACGUGCCAGCAGCCGCGGUAAUACGUAGGGGGCAAGCGUUAUCCGGAUUUACUGGGUGUAAAGGGAGUGUAGGUGGCCUGGCAAGCCAGAUGUGAAAGCCCGCGGCUCAACCGCGGGACUGCAUUUGGAACUGUUAGGCUUGAGUGCAGGAGAGGAAAGUGGAAUUCCUAGUGUAGCGGUGAAAUGCGUAGAUAUUAGGAGGAACACCAGUGGCGAAGGCGGCUUUCUGGACUGUAACUGACACUGAGGCUCGAAAGCGUGGGGAGCAAACAGGAUUAGAUACCCUGGUA
rnacentral:rRNA from 1 species